UACGGGGGAGCAAGCGUUGUUCGGAUUUACUGGGCGUAAAGGGCGCGUAGGCGGUCAGCACAAGUCAGUUGUGAAAUCUCCGGGCUUAACUCGGAAAGGUCAACUGAUACUGUGCGACUAGAGUGCAGAAGGGGCAACUGGAAUUCUCGGUGUAGCGGUGAAAUGCGCAGAUAUCAGGAGGAACACCGAGUGGCGAAGGCAGGUCUCUGGGCAUUAACUGACGCUGAGGAGCGAAAGCAUGGGGAGCGAACAGG
rnacentral:rRNA from 1 species